GUACCGUUGGUCAAAUGAAUCAUAUUCUGAGGUUUUCUGCCCAGCUACUGAAUUUUCACUUAGUAUCUUAGCUCUCAUUUGGAAACCUCUGGGAGGGGACCCCCCCCCCCCUUUGGAGCUGCCACUGAACACAGCCAUGAUUGAUUUUUCCAAAUCUCCCAUUGAAAAUUCUAUAACUAAACGCAUUGAUGCAAGAUAUCACUUUUCAAGAAACCAUGCGGAACAAAAGAUAUUUUCAGUUGAACAUAUGAUUCUCGAGAAAUUUGCUAGGUACUUUCACUUCUUACUUGAAACACAUUACUCGGAAAUAUUAUCACAGCUCUACAGUAGAAGGAGCUUAAUUUUCUACAAAAUUCAGGAAAUUUACACUUGACUGAUGUUGCCGUUGACACCAGAUCCUUUUUAUCUUGCGCAAGUGUUUUCUUUCCGUAGCAGCUACCCGAGAGAGUUGCAACACUGGCAAAUUGUGAAUAUUGUAUACAAAAACAAAGUGAAACUGGUCCCCGAGGAAAUGUGACUCUGCACACCACUGGUGAACAACAUUCUGUUUUCUCGCAAAACAACAUUUCUUUGAAAUGAACUGAUGACUAAAUCAUUAACUUACAUUUGACUGAUGUUGCCGUUGACACCAGAUGCGUUUUAUCUUGCACAAGUGUUUUCUUUCUGUAGCAGCUACCCGAGAGAGUUACAACUCUGGCAAAUUGUGAACACUAUACAAAAGCAAAGUGAAACUAGUAACUGGUCCCCUAGGAAAUGUGACUCUGCACACCACUGGUGAACAACAUUCAGUUUGCUUUCAAAAUAUCAUUUCUUUAAAAUGAACUGGUGACUAAAUCAUAAACUUACAUUUGACUGAUGUUGCCGUUGACACCAGAUGCGUUUUAUCUUGCACAAGUGUUUUCUUUCUGUAGCAGCUACCCGAGAGAGUUGCAACACUGGCAAAUUGUGAAUACUGUAUACAAAAGCAAAGUGAAACUAUUAACUGGUCCCCGAGGAAAUGUAACUCUGCACACCACUGGUGAACAACAUUCAGUUUGCUUUCAAAACUACAUUUCUUUGAAAUGAACUGGUGACUGAAUCAUUAACUUACAUUUGACUGAUGUUGCCGUUGACACCAGAUGCGUUUUAUCUUGCACAAGUGUUUUCUUUCUGUAGCAGCUACCCGAGGGAGUUGCAACACUGGCAAAUUGUGAAUAUUGUAUACAAAAACAAAGUGAAACUAUUAACUGAUCCCUGAGGAAACGUGACUCUGCACACCACUGGUGAACAACAUUCUGUUUUCUUGCAAAACAACAUUUCUUUGAAAUGAACUGGUGACUAAAUUAUUAACUUACAUUUGACUGAUGUUGCCCUCGACACCAGAUGCGUUUAUCUUGCACAAGUGUUUUCUUUCUGUAGCAGUUACCCAAGAGAGUUACAACACUGGCAAAUUGUGAAUAUUGUAUACAAAAACAAAGUGAAACUAUUAACUGGUCCCCGAGGAAAUGUGACUCUGUACACUACUGUUGAACAACAUUCUGUUUUCUUGCAAAACAACAUUUCUACGAAAUCAACUGGUGACUUAAUCAUUAACUUCAUCAAUUCUGAAUCUAUUUCUAAAAUGGACUUCAGUAGCCGUAACGAGCGUAACUUCAGAGAUAUGUUCUUCAAGGUUAUGUUCAUCACACUACAUAUUUUACACAGAUAUUCAGUUCUGUCACAUUAUUAAAAAAAUGAGUACUA